AAUUGCAGUGGUACCAACCUAAGACAGGAGGCUGACGCCUAGAAGUCAGCUCAUCCGAUGAUGGGUAAGAACCAUGUGUAGUAUUGGACAGCCUAACAGACAUGGUCCCUAAGCCACAUUGCUUGUUGUUUAAUUAAACAGAAGGGGGGAGAUGUUGAGGGCCACAGCCGAGUCGGGAUGACGCAUGGCAUUUUUGCCAGAAGUGGUGGUUGAGUGGUGACACCAGUGAGUUCUUGCGGAGUUCCCGUUGAGUUCCAGUUGAGCUCUCACGGGGAUUCCCAGAGAGUUCCGAUUGGUUGGGGAAGUGCCGGAGGAG
rnacentral:lncRNA from 1 species